CCUCCACUAGGUUGUCUUUUCGCCGGUUGGUGCCCGGCAACCGCAGCGCAGGCGCACGGAGGCCGCUGGGCGCACGAGCGCGCGCUUUCCCCGCUGUGCACGAGAAGAUUCAUUUUGGAGACACAAACUUGACUAAGGAAUGUCGAAAAGGAAACCGACCUCUGUUGCCAGGCCCCAGCAGAGUGGACAGAGCUCUCAGCGAAAAUCGGGAAUAGGGAGUGCAGGGAGGGACCCUGGUGACCAGCAUCCUAGGGACGUGCCACCCGGAAAGACAGAGGCCAGUGUUGCUACCUGCAGCCACAGGACUCCACAACCAUG